CCCAGCAGUGCUGACCCUAGGUGGCCGUGGGACUGCGCGCGGAUGCAGGCGGCGCGGCACGUCGUGUGCGCCCUGUCGGGCGGCGUGGACAGCGCGGUGGCAGCGCUGCUGCUGAGGCGGAGAGGCUACCAGGUGACAGGGGUAUUCAUGAAGAACUGGGACUCACUGGACGAGCACGGCGUGUGUACCGCCGACAGAGACUGCGAGGACGCCUACAGGGUGUGCCGCGUCUUGGAUAUCCCCUUCCACCAGGUGUCCUACGUUAAGGAGUACUGGAACGACGUGUUCAGCGAUUUUCUGAAUGAGUAUGAGAAAGGCAGGACCCCCAACCCUGACAUAGUCUGCAAUAAGCACAUCAAGUUCAGCUGCUUCCUUCAUUACGCCGUGGACAACCUUGGAGCAGACGCGAUUGCCACGGGCCACUAUGCGAGGACCUCACUGGAAGAUGAAGAAGUCUUUCAGCAGAAGCACAUAAAGAGGCCGGAAGGGCUUUUCAGAAAUCGAUUCGAAGUUAGAAAUUCGGUAAAACUUCUCCAAGCAGCUGACAGCUUUAAAGACCAGACCUUCUUUCUCAGCCAGGUUUCCCAGGAGGCCCUGAGAAGAACCAUCUUCCCUCUUGGGGGAUUAACGAAAGAUUUUGUAAAGAAAAUAGCUGCUGAGAAUGGACUCCAGCAUGUGCUUGAGAGGAAAGAGAGCAUGGGCAUCUGUUUCAUUGGUAAAAGGAAUUUUGAGCAUUUCAUCCUUCAGUACUUGCAGCCUCAGCCUGGGAAGUUUAUUUCCAUUGAGGACAAUGCAGUUCUGGGAACACACAAGGGUUGGUUCCUGUAUACCUUGGGCCAGAGGGCAAAGAUCAGCGGCCUGAGGGAGCCCUGGUAUGUGGUGGACAAGGACGGCACCAGAGGAGACGUGCUCGUGGCCCCCCGGACUGACCACCCAGCCCUGUACAGGGACCUGCUGCGCACUGACCGCGUGCACUGGAUUGCAGAGGGGCCACCAGCCACCCUGGUCCGGGACAAGAUGAUGGAGUGCCACUUCCGCUUCCGCCACCAGAUGGUGCUAGGCCUCUCUCCACCCAGUGCCCUGUGUGCUGACCCUCAAUCAAGAUGGCACCGUGUGGGUGACGGCAGUGAAGGCCGUGCGGGGCCUUGCGCUGGGGCAGUUCGCCGUGUUCUACAAGGGGGACGAAUGCCUGGGCAGUGGGAAAAUCCUGCGCUUGGGGCCGUCGGCCUACACACUCCAGAAGGGCAGGAGCAGGGCCGUGGUGGCUCCCAAGGGCACCGGGGACAGUGCAGGGGACAGCCCAGGCCUGUGUCCCACACCCUGAUGGACCCAGCUGCCAGGAGAGGCCUGCAGAAUCAGCCCAGGACAGGGCAGCCCAUGGUGCUGGGCUUGGUGCUGCCUGAGCCAGGGAGCCGGAGGCCCUCGUGUCACCCCCUACUCCACGUUGUGUGGCCCUAUCCCCAGGCCUGCUUCUGGAGUCCCUCUCCCCUACCCUUCUGAGCAUACUGCAGGACACAUGGUGGUUGUAUGGGCCACAGGACAGCACUGAAUAAAACUCAUUUGUCUGGCGGAAGGGUCUGACUGCUGUGUCUGGGGCAGGCCGGCUGUCCGCUUCAGGCUCGGCUCAUAGCUGAUGCUCCACGGCGAGCACACCCCAUGCUUUUCCUCAUGGUUGUACGCCCUUCCAGGGCGGCUCCAUUUGGACAGAAGUGUGGCUGGAAUUCUUGGAGAAGCCCUGAUCCAGACAGAGGCACUGCGAGCGUAGGCUUGCGGGCCCCUCCUGUCUCGGCAGCUGGCCACGUGCUUGUGUGGCACAGAGCUGUGACCUUGGACGCUUGUGUCUGGGUUCCACUUCAGUUUUCUUUCCUACGUACUGCUUCCCUGCCGCCGUGGACUGAGCAGCCGUGUUCUUUCACACCGCUCACCAGGAUGCUGUGCCUUGGAGUGAACCCCUGGAAUCGUAAGCCAUAUCAAACCUCCAAGUUACGGGUGUCAGGUAGUCUGUCCCAGCAAGAAAACUGACCGAGACAGGAGCCAAGGCGAAGGAGCCCAGAAGCGAGGGUGACCUGGGGAGGGAAGGCUGGUGAAGUGGCCGAGGCCUUGGCUGUGCAGCUGUCCCUGGAACUCGCCGCUCCAGGGCCACAGUCAGGGACAGAAGCUGAUCGAGUCAUAUGCCACCAGAAUGCUGCUGAGGUGAGUGCUGCACCUGGCCGGGCCCGCUUGCAUACAGAAACGCCAGCAAACACCCAAAGAUGCUGGGCAGAUUGGGCAAGCAAAAUGGCCCAGAUGCUCCGAUAACCAAGGAUAGAGCAGCCUCUACUCCAUGCCUGGACACACAACUCUCAAAACAGUGACAUCUGCAAGGCCCACCUGGAAAAUCAGAAUAUAAGGAGCCACUCAAGUUCUAAAACUGCAAAUGACAGUAAGCAGAACAAAAUAACCGCAUAGGCUUAAGAGAAUGGAGAUGACAGAGAAGGCAUAAGCGACUGUGAACACUGAUCACCAGACAGUCACAUCUGAGCGGACGGGAGGGGUGAGCAGAGCUGGCCUGGCUGGCUGGCGCCCGAGACCU